rnacentral:rRNA from 1 species
UGGGGAAUUGUUCGCAAUGGGCGCAAGCCUGACGACGCAACGCCGCGUGGAGGAUGAAGAUCUUCGGGUCGUAAACUCCUGUCGAGCGGGAAGAACACCUGCCGGUCGAAUACGCUGGCAGGCUGACGGUACCGCUAAAGGAAGCCCCGGCUAACUCCGUGCCAGCAGCCGCGGUAAUACGGGGGGGGCAAGCGUUGUUCGGAAUUACUGGGCGUAAAGGGCUCGUAGGCGGCCAACUAAGUCCGACGUGAAAUCCCCAGGCUCAACCUGGGAACUGCGUCGGAUACUGGAUGGCUUGAAUUCGGGAGAGGGAUGCAGAAUUCCAGGUGUAGCGGUGAAAUGCGUAGAUAUCUGGAGGAAUACCGGUGGCGAAGGCGGCAUCCUGGACCGACAUUGACGCUGAUGAGCGAAAGCUAGGGGAGCAAACGGGAUUAGAUACCCCGGUAGUCCUAGCCCUAAACGAUGAAUGCUUGGUGUGACGGGUAUCGAUCCCUGUCGUGCCGAAG